rnacentral:rRNA from 1 species
GACGAACGCUGGCGGCGUGCCUAACACAUGCAAGUCGAACGGGGAGUUAUUUAUAACUCCUAGUGGCGAACGGGUGAGUAACGCGUAGACAACCUGCCUCUAAAUUGGGGACAACACCGCGAAAGUGGUGCUAAUACCGAAUGUGGUAACUUGGUCGCAUGAUUAGGUUAAGAAAGAUGGCCUCUAUAUAUAAGCUAUCGAUUAGAGAUGGGUCUGCGUCUGAUUAGCUAGUUGGUGAGGUAAUGGCUCACCAAGGCGACGAUCAGUAGCCGGUCUGAAAGGAUGAACGGCCACACUGGGACUGAGACACGGCCCAGACUCCUACGGGAGGCAGCAGUGGGGAAUCUUCCGCAAUGGACGAAAGUCUGACGGAGCAACGCCGCGUGAGUGAAGAAGGUCUUCGGAUUGUAAAGCUCUGUCGUUUGGGACGAACGUGGAUUGUGUGAAUAAUGCAGUCUAAUGACGGUACCAAAGGAGGAAGCCACGGCUAACUACGUGCCAGCCGCCGCGGUAA